rnacentral:rRNA from 1 species
GACGAACGCUGGCGGCGUGCCUAACACAUGCAAGUCGAGCGGGGGGAGUACUUCGGUACAAACCUAGCGGCGGACGGGUGAGUAACACGUGGGUAACCUGCCUCAAAGUGGGGGAUAGCCUUCCGAAAGGAAGAUUAAUACCGCAUAACCCAUAGAUUCCGCAUGGAAGCAAUGGUAAAGAUUUAUCGAGUUGAGAUGGACCCGAGGCGCAUUAGCUAGUUGGUGAGGUAACGGCACACAGGGGUCACGAGGCGUAGCCGACCUGAGAGGGGGAUCGGCCACAUUGGAACGGAGACACGGUCCAGACUCCUACGGGAGGCAGCAGUGGGGAAUAUUGCACAAUGGGCGAAAGCCUGAUGCAGCAACGCCGCGUGAGUGAUGAAGGCCUUCGGGUUGUAAAGCUCUGUCUUUUGGGACGAUAAUGACGGUACCAAAGGAGGAAGCCACGGCUAACUACGUGCCAGCCGCCGCGGUAAGAC